rnacentral:lncRNA from 1 species
UUUGUAGCAAAGAGCAAGCAAAACUAACCUAUUCUUCACGAACGUGAAAGGAUUUAAACCUAUUACCAUCUUGAGAGACAAAGGAUAUCCAUAUGUUUGAGUUCUGCUUUAUGAACAAGGGAAGAAGACUAACAACUUGCCUGAACGGGUGAGUUAUCAUCAACCCAAGGGAGAAUUUCUAUCUUAAGGCCACUACAAGAAAGGAACACUACAAAAGUGGUGGAGUGAGAGAAGAACAGAAAGAGGGGACUACCCAUGAUAAAUAUUAAAACUGUGGAACUAAGACAGGGGCCUCUGUAAUUCCCUGCUGUGUUGAGACCCGAGGUGGUACUGAAAUUCAAGUGCUAGGUAAGAACAGUUUCUGUCUUUUCAUUUGAAACAUCUCUGUUCCAU